CGAGUGAAGAGGGAAAAGCUCAAAUUUUGAAUCUGGUGUCUUUGGCGCCCGAGUUGUAAUCUAGAGAAGUGUUUUCUGCCUCGGACCACACAUAAAUUCCCUGGAAUGGGGUGUCAUAGAGGGUGAGAAUCCCGUUUGUGGUGUGGACUACCUUGGCUCUGUGAUACACUCUCAACGAGUCGAGUUGUUUGGGAAUGCAGCUCAAAAUGGGUGGUAAAUUCCAUCUAAAGCUAAAUAUUGGCGAGAGACCGAUAGCGAACAAGUACCGUGAGGGAAAGAUGAAAAGCACUUUGGAAAGAGAGUGAAACAGUACGUGAAAUUGUUGAAAGGGAAGCGUUUGAAGUCAGUCACAUCGGUCGGAAUUCAGCCUGGCUUUGCCUGGUGUACUUUUUGGCAGAUGGGUCAGCGUCAAUUUUGACUGAGGGAAAAAGACUUGAGGAAUGUGGCUGUCUUCGGGCAGUGUUAUAGCCUCUUGUUGUAUGUCUCAGUUGGGAUUGAGGACCGCAGCACGCCUUAUGGCCGGGGUUCGCGCCCUCGGAACGUGCUUAGGACGCUGGCA
rnacentral:rRNA from 1 species